rnacentral:rRNA from 1 species
GACGUAGGGGCCGAGCGUUGUCCGGAGUUACUGGGCGUAAAGCGCGCGCAGGCGGCGCAUCUGGCCCGGCGUGAAAGCCCCCGGCUCAACCGGGGAGGGUCGUCGGGGACCGGUGCGCUUGAGGGCGGUAGGGGCAACUGGAAUUCUCGGUGUAGCGGUGAAAUGCGUAGAUAUCGAGAGGAACACCUGCGGCGAAGGCGGGUUGCUGGGCUGACACUGACGCUGAUGCGCGAAAGCUAGGGGAGCGAACGGG